GCCAAAAAAAUUUCGCGCUCAAAAAAUGUUUAGGUUUUUUCUGUGAUUUAAACAAGAUGGUAAAAAAAUUGUAUUCAAACAUUCGAUUAUUUUUUACCUUGUCUUUCCAUAUCAUCAUCAGUGUGCAACAAGUACAACAAUAAUGUAUAGGUCUUUUUCAACUGUGGCGGAAUAUUAUUCCAGCGAAGAUACUUCAAGUUCCGAAAUCACUAUAUUCAAUGAUUAUAACAAACAUCAACAAAACUGGCACCAAAUGAAAAUUUUUACUAAUAAUGAAGAACUUAAAGAAUUUAUUGGUGAAAAUUGGAGUAAGUGGUAUCGGAGUGAUACUGAGAAAGAUAUCAAACAAUAUUACCGAUGCAACAAGGUGAAAAAGAAUGACAUGCAAUGCCGAGCACGCAUUUUUAUCUCAUAUGACAAAUUUUCUGAAUCAAUUUAUUUAUACCAAAACAACGAAGAUCAUACAUGUAGCGAAAUCAUCUCAACAA